UACGGGGGGGGGCAAGCGUUGUUCGGAAUUACUGGGCGUAAAGGGCGCGUAGGCGGCCAGCACAAGUCAGUUGUGAAAUCUCCGAGCUUAACUGGGAGGGGUCAUUCGAUACUGGCGGGCUCGAGGCCGGUAGGGGGAAGUGGAAUUCCCGGUGUAGUGGUGGAAUGCGUAGAUAUCGGGAGGAACACCAGUGGCGAAGGCGGCUUCUUGGACCGGUUCUGACACUGAGGAGCGAAAGCGUGGGGAGCGGAA
rnacentral:rRNA from 1 species